rnacentral:rRNA from 1 species
GACGAACGCUGGCGGCGUGCUUAACACAUGCAAGUCGAACGAUGAAGAAGAGAAACGCGGACUUCGGUUCGAAUUUCACUUCGGAGUAGUGGCAGACGAGUGAGUAACGCGUUUUCAACCUACCUCUUACAACGGGAUAUCCUCCGGGAACCGUGAUUAAGACCAUAUGACGCGGUCAUAAGGCAUCGUAAGAAUGGUAAAGGUACGGCGGUAAGAGCUGGGCUCGCGGCAGCUUGGCUUGUUGGUGAUGUAACGGGCCACCAAGGCGAGGGUGGGUAACUGGGCUGAGAGGGUGACAGGUUACAUUGGAACUGCGACACGGUCCAAUCUCCUACGGGAGGCAGCAGUAGGGAAUAUUGUACAAUGGAGGGAACUCUGAUGCAGCCACGCCGCGUGAGAGAUGAAGGAAUUCGUUUCGUAAAGCUCUGUUUUAUGGGAAGAAAAGGACUGUACCAUAGAAGAAAGCCCCGGCUAAAUACGUG